ACAGAGAAAGGAGUCGGGGAGACUGGCAGGCUGGAAAGCCGGCGCAGGGAGGUCACCUUUGAUGUAGACAUCGUCGUCGGCGCGCAUGAACCACUCAUACUUGUCCAGAAAUCAGCAUGAGAAGAUGAUCAAAAUUCAUAUAUUGAAACAUGAAAAGGUAAAUUAUUUAUGGCAUAUCAUAAAACUAUGUAAGUUUCAGAGCCUGGUAUUAAUCUGCAUUUAAUCACCAUGAAAAUAUUCCAGUAAAUUUUUUUACACUGAGCAGAUUUGAUGCUACCAAAGGUUUAUUAAUCAAGAAUUACUUUUUAGGUAUGAUAAUGCUAUUGUAGCCUUGUUUUUUUAUACAAAGAGUCCUUAUUUUCUGAAAUACAUACUGAAAUGUUUAUAGAUAAAAUGGUAUGAUAUCUGGGAUUUAAAUAUAUGGGAUGGAGGGAGGUGCUAAAUGGAUGUAGAUGUGAAUAGGGUCUGAUUGGCCAGGUAUUGAUUACUAUUAGGGUAGGUAAUUAUCUUCAGAUAAAUUUGGAUCUCUAUAAUAAAAAGAUUUUUAAAAAAUACUUCAUUUGUUUAAGGUCAGAACAUACUCUUCAUUUAUUUUCUGUAGAUUUACCUAACCAAGAUAUGGUCCACUUGUUUAAACAAUCAGUGAGAAGAUCAAUUGAGGAGGAAAGAAUGAAACUCCUCCUGUCACUUAGGAAAGGGUCAAAAAGCAAUCAAUUGAAAUAAAAACAUCCACUUCUUCCAGCCCUUCUUGGCCCCAUGACAGUCUGAGACAUAAGCAAAAUACUCGGUCAAGCUUUUACAAAGAAAAAGGGACUAUUUACACAUGAGAAUUUUUUCGUAAGUAGUAAUAGUCUCUGAUUAGGUAAUGGGCUGCAAAAUCUCAAGUUCCUAAUCACUAAACUGAAUUUAUGCUAAAAAAAAAA
ensembl:lncRNA novel transcript